rnacentral:lncRNA from 1 species
UAAUACCAUACAGGUCAUAAUUUCAUGAACCACCAGCAACAUAAAACGUAUUAUAAAUCUAUAUCCAUUAACAAUAAACCAAACUAUAACUGUUUCUCUUUUCACCAGCCUACACGUAAACCAUUUUCUUUAACAAUAUCAAUUACAGGGCAAUCCCCAUACUAUGUCUGGUAUGAUCGCCAAAUUACCAAAUCUCGAUACCAUGUCUGGUAUGAGGCAACGUUCAUAGUAGGGUUCCUUAUGUAUCUGGUCCGU